GACGAACGCUGGCGGCGUGCCUAAUACAUGCAAGUCGAGCGAGCGGAACUAACAGAUUUACUUCGGUAAUGACGUUAGGAAAGCGAGCGGCGGAUGGGUGAGUAACACGUGGGGAACCUGCCCCAUAGUCUGGGAUACCACUUGGAAACAGGUGCUAAUACCGGAUAAGAAAGCAGAUCGCAUGAUCAGCUUUUAAAAGGCGGCGUAAGCUGUCGCUAUGGGAUGGCCCCGCGGUGCAUUAGCUAGUUGGUAAGGUAAAGGCUUACCAAGGCGAUGAUGCAUACCUGAGUGGAGAGACUGAGGGGCCACUUGGGGACUGAGACACGGCCAAAACCCCUGGGGGGGGCAGCAGUGGGAAAUCUCCCACAAUGGACGAAAGUUUGAGGGAGCAGCGCGGGGUGAGAGAGGAAGGUUUUGGGAUCGAAAGGUUGUUUUUUUGGUAAAAAAGGAAAGGGGUAGAAACGGGCUUUUUUUUGACGUAAAUAAAACAGAAAGUCCCGGCUAACUACGUG
rnacentral:rRNA from 1 species